rnacentral:rRNA from 1 species
GACGAACCGAGCGAACGUUGUUCGGAAUCACUGGGCUUAAAGGGCGCGUAGGCGGGCUGCCAAGUUUGGGGUGAAAUCCUCCGGCUCAACCGGAGCAGUGCCUCGAAUACUGGCGGUCUCGAGGGAGGUAGGGGCGUGCGGAACUGUGGGUGGAGCGGUGAAAUGCGUUGAUAUCCACAGGAACUCCGGUGGCGAAGGCGGCGACCUGGUCCUAUACUGACACUCAUACACGAAAGCGUGGGGAUCAAACAGG